GGUAAGAUAGCUGAGUGUUUAGCGUAAGGCUGUAGACCUUUUUACGGGGGUUUAAUUCCCCUUCUUAUCA
rnacentral:tRNA from 1 species